UACGUAGGGGGCAAGCGUUGUCCGGAAUCAUUGGGCGGAAAGCGCGUGUAGGCGGCCCGAUAAGUCCGCUGUGAAAGUCCAGGGCUCAACCCUGGGAUGCCGGUGGAUACUGUCGGGCUCGAGUCCGGAAGAGGCGAGUGGAAUUCCUGGUGUAGCGGUGAAAUGCGCAGAUAUCAGGAGGAACACCAAUGGCGAAGGCAGCUCGCUGGGACGUGACUGACGCUGAGACGCGAAAGCGUGGGGAGCAAACAGG
rnacentral:rRNA from 1 species